UUCAGUUGCUGCGCCGACCUCCUCCCCGGCGCAAGCGUAUGGCGACGGUGUCACCUCCUCCCGGCACCGUCGUCACGUAUAACGUCGCCCCACCUCCUCCCGGGGUGCACGUUCGCU
rnacentral:sRNA from 1 species